rnacentral:rRNA from 1 species
GGGGACGGUUGUUCGGAUUACUGGGCGUAAGGGCGCGUAGGCGGCUUUGCAAGUCAGAUGUGAAAGCCCCGGGCUUAACUCGGGAAUUGCAUCUGAAACUGCUUUGCUUGAGUCCUGGAGGGGGUAGUGGAAUUCCCAGUGUAGCGGUGAAAUGCGUAGAUAUUGGGAGGAACACCUGUGGCGAAGGCGGCUACCUGGACAGUGACUGACGCUGAUGCGCGAAAGCCAGGGGAGCAAACGGGAUUAGAUACCCCGGUAGUCCUGGCUGUAAACGAUGGGCACUUGGUGUCGGGGGUAUUGAGUCCCUCGGUGCCGGAGUUAACACGUUAAGUGCCCCGCCUGGGGAGUACGGUCGCAAGACUGAAACUCAAAGGAAUUGACGGGGGCCCGCACAAGCGGUGGAGCAUGUGGUUCAAUUCGACGCAACGCGAAGAACCUUACCGGGGCUCGAACGGUAACUGAAAACCCUUGAAAGAGGGCUCUCUCUUCGGAGACGGUUAUCGAGGUGCUGCAUGGCUGUCGUCAGCUCGUGUCGUGAGAUGUUGGGUUAAGUCCCGCAACGAGCGCAACCCUUGCCCUUAGUUGCUAACAGGUCAAGCUGAGCACCCUAAGGGGACUGUCGGCGAAAAGCCGGAGGAAGGUGGGGAUGACGUCAAGUCCUCAUGGCCCUUACGUCCCGGGCCACACACGUGCUACAAUGGUCGGUACAAAGGGUCGCCAACCUGCGAAGGGGAGCUAAUCCCAAAAAGCCGACCCCAGUUCGGAUUGCAGUCUGCAACUCGACUGCAUGAAGUCGGAAUCGCUAGUAAUCGCAGAUCAGCACGCUGCGGUGAAUACGUUCCCGGGCCUUGUACACACCGCCCGUCACAUCACGAAAGUGGGUUGUACUAGAAAUCGCUGAGCUGACCCGCAAGGGGGGCAGGCGCUUAAGGUAUGAUCCAUGAUUGGGGUGAAGUCGUAACAAGGUAACC